UCAUCAGCACAGCUUGGGUCAGGAAACCAAAGAAAUAGUGAAUACCAGAAGAGGCUCCUCACUUUGUACCUUGCCUAAGGCCCCACAUUGGAUUGGCAAGAUGACAGAAUACCAGAAGAGGCUCCUCACUUUGUACCUUGCCUAAGGCCCCACAGUGGAUUGGCAAGAUGGCUGAAGUGACUCGUAUUCCGGACAACUGAGCUACGGAUGCAGUAUUGUGCCAUUUCUGCGACGGCUUUACUGAAUUAGGUAAUACAUUUUCUUCUCUGUUCCUAUUAUAGAAUCGUUACCAUUUAUGUGUAGAAUCAACAGAUCUUUUUUGUAAAGUCUAAUGAUGACGAUUAGAUACUGAUCCCACAGUUUCUAAAUUCAUUUCAAGUUAAUGGGCACAUUCUUCCAUCUUUCCGUCAUUUUCUCGGUUGUUUGCCAUAGUUUUGUUGUUGUUGUUUUAACCACUUCCUGUUAUGUUGGCCAUAGUCUUUAUCGUAUUCUUCAGCUUUGCGGGUCGUGCUCUUCUUCUCCAAUGCUUCAUGAUAUCAUUGUAAUAUAUCUACAGAGUUUAAUUUUUAUUUUAUACCUAUCAUAUGUAACAAAUUGAAACGGUGGAUCAUACCGUAACACCAAAGUGUUAAAUAACACAGUUAUUAUAGGACCUAGAGAUGACGCACAAACUGUUUUGAAAGAAAUAAAACAGAUAUAAUUUA